UUGCGCCACAAUAAACAAAUUAAAUAAGUGUAGUCAUAUAGGAGUAUCUUCAACUAUAUCUUCAACUUCACCAGACAAUCGCACAGUCCUGAUCCGAUUAACAGUUCUUGAGUGUUUCAGGGUAUCUCCAGGUCAGGUGCUCAAUGUGUAGGACGAGUCCAGGCAAUUCCCAAGUCCAGCUGAGAAGCAAACUAAAUGUAGAGGGGCCCCAUACCUAUCCCACAAACCCUUUCAGGGGCUCUUGUGACGGGGCCCAGAGUGUGUGGGCUGGAAGCUGGCCUCCAAGCCUCUCCCAUAGUUAGUGGCACUGAAGCUUCUAUCGCACCCCCAAUUGGUUAUCCCUGGAUGUCUCUUUACCUGCUCGACAUCAUAGCAAAAGUGAGCUGUGAUUAGGGUUGCCACAUUUCUUGGAAAAAAUAGCGGCCAUGCUAAUUU